GAUGAACGCUGGCGGCGUGCCUAAUACAUGCAAGUCGAGCGAACGGACGAGAAGCUUGCUUCUCUGAUGUUAGCGGCGGACGGGUGAGUAACACGUGGAUAACCUACCUAUAAGACUGGGAUAACUUCGGGAAACCGGAGCUAAUACCGGAUAAUAUUUUGAACCGCAUGGUUCAAAAGUGAAAGACGGUCUUGCUGUCACUUAUAGAUGGAUCCGCGCUGCAUUAGCUAGUUGGUAAGGUAACGGCUUACCAAGGCAACGAUGCAUAGCCGACCUGAGAGGGUGAUCGGCGACAUGGGAACUGGAACACGGUCCAGACGCCUACGGGAGGCAGCAGUAGGGAAUCUUACGCAAUGGGCGAAAGCAUGACGGAGCAACGCCGCGUGAGUGAUGAAGGUCUUCGGAUCGUAAAACUCUGUUAUUAGGGAAGAACAUAUGUGUAAGUAACUGUGCACAUCUUGACGGUACCUAAUCAGAAAGCAACGGCUAACUACGUG
rnacentral:rRNA from 1 species